UCUGGUGAUUUUGAAACGCGAAAGAAGGCUGCUAUCAAGUUCCUUGAAAAGGGAAACAAGGUGAAGUUGAACUUGCGUUUCCGUGGUCGAAUGAUCACUCACCAAGACAUUGGACGAGAAGUCUUAGAACGGAUGGCCAACGAAUUGGACGAUAUUGCCAAGGUUGAACAACGCGCUAAGAUGGAUGGCCGGCAAAUGUUCUUGGUCUUAGCUCCUAAAAAGGGUUAAGCCAAUAACAGUUGGUUUCUAGGAUACUUGAAAAACGAUAGGAGAAUAUGGACUCAUGCCCAAGAUGAAGACUCACCGCGCUUCAGCAAAGCGU
rnacentral:misc_RNA from 1 species